GUCAUCAUCAUCACCACAGCAGCGACUCGCCAGCCAGCAGCGAGUACAAGACUGGCGGUCGUCGUUUGCUUCCGCAGAUCUUCCAAUCCGAGACGGCAGGUGGUCACUCCGGUGCAGUACUUAUCCGGUUUGAAAACGUUUUAAAAUGUGCUCAACGGUUCUGAGUAAGUACUGCUAGUUUCAACGCAAAGAAAGCCGUCAACAGUUCGAGGCGUAGUUUGUCGCUUCUAAGUGCGUUCAACCAUGUCGGUCUCGAAUCGGAACGGCAACGGAAGUGAGGUGAUUUACGUUGGCGAUAGGAGCACUAACCGGCCACCGCGGAAUGCACCAAGCCCGGAUGAGGAUCGCAAGGAGGUUAAGAUUUUGUUCUUUGAUUUGACCUACUACAACACGACGACACAGUUCUUGCUUUGCUGCGCUGGAGUCUUUGUCCUGUAUCUGCUGUAUGGAUACAUGCAGGAACUGAUAUUCACCCUGGACGGAUUCAAGCCUUACGGAUGGUUCCUGACGCUGGUGCAGUUUGCCUACUACACUGUUUUUGGAUACGUUGAGCGUUCACUGGAGUCCAAGAGGGUCCCACGAUGCAUCCCAAUGAAGACAUACGUCCUAUUGGCAUUCCUCACUCUCGGGACGAUGGGAUUAUCGAAUUCCAGCUUGGGUUAUUUGAACUAUCCGACGCAGGUCAUAUUCAAGUGCUGCAAAUUGGUACCCGGUGCUGAUCGGGAGCAUCUUGAUACAAGGCAAAAAGCAUGGACCAUUGGAUUUCCUAGCGGCCAUUGCGAUGUGCCUCGGGUUGACCCUGUUCACUUUGGCCGAUUCGCAAGUUUCACCGAAUUUCAAUCCUUUUGGGGUGCUUUUGAUUUCGCUGGCGUUGCUCUGCGAUGCAGCGAUAGGAAACGUCCAGGAAAAGGCCAUGCGAGAGCACAAAGCCCCCAACAAUGAGGUGGUGAUCUACUCGUAUGGGAUCGGUUUCGUCUACCUGAGCGUUAUUAUGCUGCUGACGGGGAAUCUGUUCUCGGGGAUUACUUUCUGCAUUGAAGUACCCCGUCGAAACAUUCGGCUAUGCUUUCCUGUUCAGUCUAUCCGGCUAUCUGGGGAUUCAAAUCGUACUCACCUUGGUACGAACAUGUGGUGCUCCUCUGGCGGCGACUGUUACGACCGCUCGUAAGGCUGUUACCAUUGCGCUUUCGUUUGUGUUCUUCAGCAAACCGUUUACCAUCAACUACCUAUGGUCUGGACUGAUUGUGGUGCUAGGCAUCUAUCUAAACGUGUACAGUAAACGCAGUAAAUUGACUUUCACCGAUAUUAAUAGGACAGCGGAGCGGAUUUAUCGCAAACUGGUGCCUCAGAGAGGCGGCUCAUCAAGUACCAAAAAGUUACUGCUAGAAGUUUAAUUCCAAGUUCGUAGUGAUUUUAAGAAUUUUAGAAAGGCAAGUCUGACCGUUGCUGGGUAAGUAUAAUUGAUCAAUAAGGCUAUAUUAAAAAUUAAUUUAUUUAUU